AGAGUUUGAUCCGGGCUCAGGACGAACGCUGGCGGCGUGCCUAAUACAUGCAAGUCGAACGAAACUUUCUUACACCGAAUGCUUGCAUUCACCGUAAGAAGUUGAUUGGCGGACGGGUGAGUAACACGUGGGUAACCUGCCUAAAAGAAGGGGAUAACACUUGGAAACAGGUGCUAAUUCCGUAUAUCUCUAAGGAUCGCAUGAUCCUUAGAUGAAAGAUGGUUCUGCUAUCGCUUUUAGAUGGACCCGCGGCGUAUUAACUAGUUGGUGGGGUAACGGCCUACCAAGGUGAUGAUACGUAGCCGAACUGAGAGGUUGAUCGGCCACAUUGGGACUGAGACACGGCCCAAACUCCUACGGGAGGCAGCAGUAGGGAAUCUUCCACAAUGGACGCAAGUCUGAUGGAGCAACGCCGCGUGAGUGAAGAAGGUCUUCGGAU
rnacentral:rRNA from 2 species